AGCGAACGCCGGCGGCAGGCUUAACACAUGCAAGUCGAGCGGGCAUAGCAAUAUGUCAGCGGCAGACGGGUGAGUAACGCGUGGAACGUACCUUUUGGUUCGGAACAACACAGGGAAACUUGUGCUAAUACCGGAUAAGCCCUUACGGGGAAAGAUUUAUCGCCCUUAGACGGGCCCGCGUCGGAUUAGCUAGUUGGUGGGGUAACGGCCUACCAAGGCGACGAUCCGUAGCUGAUCUUAGAGGAUGAUCAGCCACACUGGGACUGAGACACGGCCCAGACUCCUACGGGAGGCAGCAGUGGGGAAUCUUGGACAAUGGGCGCAAGCCUGAUCCAGCCAUGCCGCGUGAGUGAAGAAGGUCUUCGGAUUGUAAAGCUCUUUUGCCAGGGACGAUAAUGACGGUACCUGGAGAAUAAGCCCCGGCAAACUUCGUGCCAGCCGCCGCCGUAA
rnacentral:rRNA from 1 species